AGCAGCCGCGGUAAUUCCAGCUCCAAUAGCGUAUAUUAAAGUUGUUGCAGUUAAAAAGCUCGUAGUUGAAUUUCGGGGUUAGUAGGUUGGUCAUGCCUCUGGUAUGUACUGGUCUCACUGAUUCCUCCUUCCUUAUGAACCGUAAUGCCAUUAAUUUGGUGUUGCGGGAAAUUUGGACUGUUACUUUGAAAAAAUUUAGAGUGUUUAAAGCAAGCUAACGCUUGAAUACAUUAGCAUGGAAUAAUGAAAUAGGACGUUCGAUCUUAUUUUGUUGGUUUCUAGGAUUGACGUAAUGAUUAAUAGGGAUAGUUGGGGGCAUUAGUAUUCAAUUGUCAGAGGUGAAAUUCCUGGAUUUAUUGAAGACUAACUACUGCGAAAGCAUUUGCCAAGGAUGUUUUCAUUAAUCAAGAACGAAAGUUAGGGGAUCGAAGACGAUCAGAUACCGUCGUAGUCUUAACCAUAAACUAUGCCGACUAGGGAUCGGAUGAUGUUAAUUUUUUAAUGACUCAUUCGGCGCCUU
rnacentral:rRNA from 1 species